UACCUGGUUGAUCCUGCCAGUAGUCAUAUGCUUGUCUCAAAGAUUAAGCCAUGCAUGUCUAAGUACAGGCCUACCCAGGGCGAAACCGCGAAUGGCUCAUUAAAUCAGUCAUGAUUUAUUGGAUGUCGUAAAAUCCCUUACAUGGAUAACUGUGGUAAUUCUAGAGCUAAUACAUGCAAUUGAGCUCCGACCCCGCCGUCGUCGUCAAAGGUGGCUGGCGGGGGAAGGGCGCUUUUAUUAGAUCAAAAACCGAGUGGACCCCUUCUCGGGGUCCUACUCCCAUAACAAAGAGCUUGUGAUGACUCUGAAUAACUUAGCCGAGCGCUGCGGUCCUCGUACCGGCGCCGUAUCUUUCAAGUGUCUGCCUUAUCAGCUUUCGAUUGUAGGUUACUACGCCUACAAUGGCUGUAACGGGUAACGGGGGAAUCAGGGGUUUCGAUUUCCGGAGAGGGAGCCUGAGAAACGGCUACCACAUCUAAGGAAGGCAGCAGGCACGCAAAUUACCCACUCCCGGCACGGAGGUAGUGACGAAAAAUAACGAUGCGGGACUCUUCCGAGGCCUCGCAAUCGGAAUGAGUCUACCCUAAAUCCUUGGACGAGGAUCCAUUGGAGGGCAAGUCUGGUGCCAGCAGCCGCGGUAAUUCCAGCUCCAAUAGCGUAUAUUAAAGUUGCUGCGGUUAAAAAGCUCGUAGUUUGAUUUCUGAUUCGGUCCGGCGGCCCAUCCAAGCGUGCCCAGUUCUCGCGCGAGCGGGGUGUAUUAUUGCACGUACGUAUACGUAUCUUUGGCUUCACCCGUCUCGUCGGUAAUAGCAGCGUGGGCGAGGAAGGACGAGGGUCGCGUAGAAAGCGGAUUGCGAAGGGGAUAUGGAGCUUGAGCCCGGGAGUUGUCGAAGAACGGCGCGCGCGCGCGUUUGGUGCUUGUGUUUCCUAACCGAAGCACUCGCGUUUUACAUGCCACUCGCGCCGCCGCCGUCUCCUCGCAUCUCUACUCAAACGGCGCUCUCGUUCAACUAUAAGUAUCUCCCUCUACACACCCGUCUUUCUCGCAAAAAGGCCGCUCGUCCCUCUCCAGAACCCAUUUCAAAGUUAUUAUUACCGCGGGGUUAUAAGCGGGCGUACGCUGUAUGGGUACUUCUUUUACGUACGCUGCGCAUUUUCCCCCCACUACGCUCCCGAGUUCGUGAAAGCGCGCCCGGUGGUUCAACUGCCCGGCCCCGAAUGUAGAAAUCCGUCGGCUUUCACGGGGUGCUCUUUACCGAGUGUCCCGCGUGGCCGAUACGUUCACUUUGAAAAAAAUUAGAGUGCUCAGAGCAGGCAAUAAUAACUUACGCCUGAAUGGUAGUGCAUGGAAUGAUGGAAACAGGACCUCGGUUCUGUCGCCUUAUCGCGAGUUUUCGGCUCGGUUCAUCAGAACCCGAGGUAAUGAUUAAAAGGAACGGACGGGGGCAUUAGUAUUGCGACGCUAGAGGUGAAAUUCUUGGACCGUCGCAAGACUGACUACUGCGAAAGCAUUUGCCUAGAAUGCUUUCAUUAAUCAAGAACGAAAGUUAGAGGAUCGAAGGCGAUCAGAUACCGCCCUAGUUCUAACCAUAAACGAUGCUAACUGGCGAUCCGCUUAAGUCAUUCCCACGACUGAGCGGGCAGCCCCCGGGAAACCAAAGUCUUUGAGUUCCGGGGGAAGUAUGGUUGCAAAGCUGAAACUUAAAGGAAUUGACGGAAGGGCACCACCAGGAGUGAGCCUGCGGCUUAAUUUGACUCAACACGGGAAACCUCACCAGGCCCAGACGCCGGAAGGAUUGACAGAUUAAGAGCUCUUUCUCGAUUCGGUGGGUGGUGGUGCAUGGCCGUUCUUAGUUGGUGGAGCGAUCUGUCUGGUUGAUUCCGAUAACGAACGAGACUCUACCCUACUAACUAGUCGGCGGAUCGUCUCCCGAGAAGGGCCCUCGCCCGGUAGUGUUCGGCGUCCCUUCCCUUCGGACGCCUCUUUUCGCAGUCGACCUUCCUCUUUCUCUCUCCUUUCUCCUUCAUCUCCUGUUCCGUUAUUUAUAGCGGUGUAGCGAGCUUGAUUGCCGAGGCUGGAGGAAGUUUAGGGGUUUUGGCCGGCGGAAUUUGAGAUCACGCCCGGGGGAAGCGUCGUUCGCUCCGAGCGUCGGGCCCAGCGAGGGGCGUCCGUCGCAACAUCUUCUUAGAGGGAUCGGCGGCGUCCAGCCGCACGAGAAAGAGCAAUAACAGGUCUGUGAUGCCCUUAGAUGCUCUGGGCCGCACGCGCGCUACAAUGAAGGGAUCAGCGUGCUUUCCCCCUCCGAAAGGAGCGGGUAACCCGUUGAAACCCCUUCCCGAUUGGGAUUUGUGGCUUGUAAAUAUUUCUCAUUGGACGAGGAAUUCCCAGUAAGCGCGAGUCAUCAGCUCGCGUUGAUUACGUCCCUGCCCUUUGUACACACCGCCCGUCGCUACUACCGAUUGAAUGAUUCAGUGAGGGCAUCGGACUGUCGCCCUCGGUCUUCGCUCGCGUAAACAAAGUCUCGUUUCGGCGGGACUGCGGUCGUAGGCACCCCGGGCUGACGGAAAGAUGUCCGAACUUGAUCAUUUAGAGGAAGUAAAAGUCGUAACAAGGUUUCCGUAGGUGAACCUGCGGAAGGAUCAUUA
rnacentral:rRNA from 1 species